rnacentral:rRNA from 1 species
AUUGAACGCUGGCGGUAUGCUUAAGACAUGCAAGUCGAACGGUAACAGACCUUCGGGUGCUGACGAGUGGCGGACGGGUGAGUAACACGUGGGAAUCUACCUUGUAGUGGGGGAUAAGCCAGGGAAACUUGGACUAAUACCGCAUACGCCCUAAGGGGGAAAGGAGCAAUUCGCUAUAAGAUGAGCCCGCGUCUGAUUAGCUAGUUGGUGAGGUAAAGGCUCACCAAGGCGACGAUCAGUAGCUGGUCUGAGAGGAUGACCAGCCACAUUGGGACUGAGACACGGCCCAGACUCCUACGGGAGGCAGCAGUCGGGAAUAUUGGACAAUGGGGGCAACCCUGAUCCAGCAAUACCGCGUGUGUGAAGAAGGCCUGCGGGUUGUAAAGCACUUUUAGUAGGGAAGAUAAUGACGUUACCUACAGAAAAGCACCGGCUAACUCCGUG